CAGGCCUAACACAUGCAAGUCGAACGGAAGCAGGAGAAAGCUUGCUUUCUUGCUGACGAGUGGCGGACGGGUGAGUAAUGCUUGGGAAUCUGGCUUAUGGAGGGGGAUAACUACGGGAAACUGUAGCUAAUACCGCGUAGAAUCGGGAGAUGAAAGUGCGGGACCGCAAGGCCGCAUGCCAUGAGAUGAGCCCAAGUGGGAUUAGGUAGUUGGUGGGGUAAAGGCCUACCAAGCCUGCGAUCUCUAGCUGGUCUGAGAGGAUGGCCAGCCACACUGGAACUGAGACACGGUCCAGACUCCUACGGGAGGCAGCAGUGGGGAAUAUUGCGCAAUGGGGGGAACCCUGACGCAGCCAUGCCGCGUGAAUGAAGAAGGCCUUCGGGUUGUAAAGUUCUUUCGGUAUUGAGGAAGGAGUGUAUGUUAAUAGCAUACAUUAUUGACGUUAAAUACAGAAGAAGCACCGGCUAACUCCGUGCCAGCAGCCGCGGUAAUACGGAGGGUGCGAGCGUUAAUCGGAAUAACUGGGCGUAAAGGGCACGCAGGCGGUUAUUUAAGUGAGGUGUGAAAGCCCCGGGCUUAACCUGGGAAUUGCAUUUCAGACUGGGUAACUAGAGUACUUUAGGGAGGGGUAGAAUUCCACGUGUAGCGGUGAAAUGCGUAGAGAUGUGGAGGAAUACCGAAGGCGAAGGCAGCCCCUUGGGAAUGUACUGACGCUCAUGUGCGAAAGCGUGGGGAGCAAACAGGAUUAGA
rnacentral:rRNA from 1 species